AUGUAUAAUUCUCUUUAUCGCGUGCAUGACCAAGCUAAGAGUGGACUCUGGAAAUGCAUUUGGAAUUUGAAAGUGCUGGAAAAAAUUUGGUAUUUUAUCUGGCUGUUAAAGCAUGAUAGACUUUUGACUAAUUUUAAGAAGAUUAGUACGGGGCUUGGUUCAGCAUGUUGCGACAAGUGUGGGCAUGUCUGUGAGGAUGCGGUUCAUGUCAUACGUGAUUGUCCAGCUGCAAAGCAAGUGUGGGGCAGUUUGGUUCCUAGCUAUAUUGUGCACCAAUUAUAUAGCCUUGAUUUGCAGCAAUGGAUAUAA